UGGGGAAUUUUGGACAAUGGGCGCAAGCCUGAUCCAGCAAUGCCGCGUGCAGGAUGAAGGCCUUCGGGUUGUAAACUGCUUUUGUACGGAGCGAAAAGGUCUGCCCUAAUACGGUGGGCUCAUGACGGUACCGUAAGAAUAAGCACCGGCUAACUACGUGCCAGCAGCCGCGGUAAUACGUAGGGUGCGAGCGUUAAUCGGACUUACUGGGCGUAAAGCGUGCGCAGGCGGUUAUAUAAGACAGGUGUGAAAUCCCCGGGCUCAACCUGGGAACUGCAUUUGUGACUGUAUAGCUAGAGUACAGCAGAGGGGGAUGGAAUUCCGCGUGUAGCAGUGAAAUGCGUAGAUAUGCGGAGGAACUCCGAUGGCGAAGGCAAUCCCCUGGGCCUGUACCGACGCUCAUGCACGAAAGCGUGGGGAGCAAAC
rnacentral:rRNA from 1 species